CUUUUUGGUUGUAAAGUUCUUUUACGAGGGAUAAUUAUGAUAGUACUUCGUGAAUAAGUGACAGCAAACUAUGUGCCAGCAGCUGCGGUAAUACAUAGGUCGCGAGCAUUAUUCGGAUUUAUUGGGCGUAAAGCAAGCGCAGGCGGAUGUGUAAGUUCUGUGUUAAAUGCAGCUACUCAAUAGUUGUAUGCACCGAAUACUACAUGUCUAGAUUGUGGUAGGGAGUUUCGGAAUUAAGCAUGGAGCGGUGGAAUGUGUAGAUAUGCUUAAGAACACCAGAGGCGAAGGCGGAAACUUAGGCCAUAAAUGACGCUUAGGCUUGAAAGUGUGGGGAGCAAAUGGGAUUAGAUACCCCAGUAGUCCACACCGUAAACGAUGGGUAUUAGAUAUUAGGGCUUUAGCUUUAGUGUUGUAGCUUACGCGUUAAAUACCCCGCCUGGGUAGUACAUAUGCAAAUAUGAAACUCAAAGGAAUUGACGGGGACCUGAACAAGUGGUGGAGCAUGUUGCUUAAUUCGAUAAUACACGAAAAACCUUACC
rnacentral:rRNA from 1 species